UACAGAGGGGGCAAGCGUUGUUCGGAAUUACUGGGCGUAAAGCGUGCGUAGCCGGUUAUGUAAGUCGGGUGUGAAAGCCCCGGGCUCAACCUGGGAAUUGCAUUCGAGACUGCAUAGCUAGGGUGCGGAAGAGGGAAGCGGAAUUUCCGGUGUAGCGGUGAAAUGCGUAGAUAUCGGAAGGAACACCAGUGGCGAAAGCGGCUUCCUGGUCCAGCACCGACGUUCAGGCACGAAAGCGUGGGGAGCAAACAGG
rnacentral:rRNA from 1 species